rnacentral:rRNA from 1 species
UACGGAGGGUGCGAGCGUUGUCGGAUCACUGGGCGUAAAGGGCGCGUAGGCGGCGCGGUAAGUCGGGUGUGAAAUCUCGGAGCUUAACUCCGAAACUGCAUUCGAUACUGCCGUGCUUGAGGACUGGAGAGGAGACUGGAAUUUACGGUGUAGCGGUGAAAUGCGUAGAUAUCGUAAGGAAGACCAGUGGCGAAGGCGGGUCUCUGGACAGUUCCUGACGCUGAGGCACGAAGGUCAGGGGAGCAAACGGG